rnacentral:rRNA from 1 species
AUGACGGCCAUCCAGGUGGCAAAAAGUUUCCUUGCUGAAAUUGACAAGAUGUGCACACGGUUUUUGUGGUGCCAAGACGAGCAGCUCACCGGUAGGAAGUGUAACUUCAAGUGGAGUAACGUGUGCAUAACGAUGGACAAAGGCGGGCUGGGCAUCCUAGACACUACCAAGUUCGCCAAAGCAUUGAGACUGCGGUGGCUAUGCCAGACGUGGAAAUCUCCAGAUCGGCCAUGGGUGGGCACUGAGCUGCCAUGCAAUCAUAAGGACAUUGAUCUCUUCGCCGCGGCGACAUCAGUAAUAAUUGGCAAUGGGGAAACAACAAAGUUCUGGGGGCGCUCCAUGGCUCUGCUCAUUCCCCCUACGCAUGGUUGCUCCCACCUGUUCUGGUAG